CUAAUCCAGGAGGACUUUUCGGUGGAGGCAUCGCGCGUGGGGCGGGAGCCUGCGACUGGCAAGACCACGGAAACUCGCGGCUUGGGUCCUGGCUGAACCAAGCGGAAACUUAGGUGUCCGGCAGCCGGGUGGACUCCAGCUCGAUCUGUUGCGACGCUGGGGCUGACUGAGUAGGGACCGAAGGAAACAGGAACCUUGCCACCCUGGCCCACCCGGAAUUCGUAGAUGCACUUCCCGGGAGCGCUGUGCGAGGCGGCAGCGGCGCGCAGACCCCCCCGCUUUGGGACAGAAUGAACUGACAGAGAAGUUCUUAAAGUAUGGCUUCAGACAAAGACCAGCAAAAUCAUUGGCAUCCCCUGCGAACUUGUUAGAAAUGGAAAUCCUCGGGUCCCAUCCAUAGACUUAUUAAGUCAGAAACAAUGGAGAUAUGGCUCAGCAACUUGUGUUUUAAUAAGACUGCCAGGUAAUUCUGAUUCAAGCUAAAGUUUGAGAACCACUUACCUGACCUAACAACAGUUACUAUUUUUCCAUCUUUGGAAGAAUAGUAAUAAGCUGUAAGAACAACAAUGAUAAAAACUGCAAGAAACUACCACAGGUACUCCCAUGAAUCUCAUGUGCAAUAUGGGCCAAGCAUUGUCGUGUGUGUGUGUGUGUGUGUGUGUGUGUGUGUGUAGGUGUGUGUGAGAGAGAGACAGACAGAGAGAGAGAGAGAGAGUAAUUUCAUUUAAUCUUUAAGACAAUCUAGAAGCAAAUAUGAUUUCAAUUUAAAAGAUAAGGAAGCGGGCAUGGAAAAGUAACUUGUACAUGGUCAAAGCGUAACCAGCAGAAACAGGAGUCAAAUUCAAAUCUACAAUAACAAAGAUUAUAGCUUUCUACUAUACUAUACUUAACAGGUAACAUACACAAUGUCUCUUGUACUAUUCGUAAUGAAGGUAAUUAUUUCUACUUAAAAGGUUAAGUCAUGAAUCUACCUUUUGAAUCAAGAUAUGCUUAUUAAUUAGUACUGUUAAAAUAACUUGAAUACAGAUAUGGUGGUAUAUGGACUUGAUCUGAGAAGUAAAGACACUUACCAUUGACAAACACCCAAAAUAAUAAUAAAAAAAGAUUUAACCUCUCA